rnacentral:rRNA from 1 species
GAUGAACGCUGGCGGCGUGCUUAACACAUGCAAGUCGAACGGUGAAGGCGGAGCUUGGUUUGAUGGAUCAGUGGCGAACGGGUGAGUAACACGUGAGCAAUCUGCCCCUGACUGUGGGAUAAGCGCUGGAAACGGCGUCUAUUACUGGAUACGAGCUGCGAAGGCAUAUUCAGCAGCUGGAAAGAACUUCGGUCAGGGAUGAGCUGGCGGCCUAUCAGCUUGUUGGUGAGGUAACGGCUAACCAAGGCGUCGACGGAUAGCCGGCAUGGGAGGGGGACCGGCCACACUGGGCCUAGGACAGGGCCCAGACUCCUACGGGGGGCAGUGGUGGGAAAUAUGACACAAUGGGGCAAAGCCUGAGGCAGAAACGCCGCGUGCGGAACGACGGCCUUCGGGUGGUAAACGUCUUUUGGAGGGGAAGAAGCGAAAGUGACGGUACCUGCAGAAAAAGCGCCGGCUAACUACGUG